rnacentral:rRNA from 1 species
CCCAUGCCGAACACGGAAGUUAAGCUCUUCAGCGCCGAUGGUAGUUGGGGGUUUCCCCCUGUGAGAGUAGGACGCCGCCAAGC